CAGAUUCACCUUCAAACUCCCCAGAAGAUUCCACUGAUUGCGAGGGGAUUUCAAAAACUGAGGUGUUUAGAGUGACAAAUGGUUGUUUAAUAAUAUUGGGGUUCAUCAUCAUUGCAUUUUGUUUAACAAUAUGAUAAUAGGCGAAAUCUAGGUGAUUUAGCUAUUGUUUAUGCUUCCGCUUGAUUAUAUUCCAAUGACAUAUUAUGGUUAAUUGAUGAAAAAUAGCCUUUAAUUGUGAUAUGUAUACAUUGCAGGACGAGGAGCCUGUAUGAUGCUUUCAAGAGGAUAUUGGAAUGAUUUAUGAGCAAGAACAACCUCUCGGAGUUGAGUGCGCGCAAGGACGAGAUGAGAAAAUGGAUGAAAUCAAGCUCCUGGUGCGCGAAGAAACGCACAAAGGCGCGCAGGAGUUCGCGCGUAAGAAAGGCCGAGGCGGAAUCAUGCACGAAGAAACGCGCGAAGUUAUACG
rnacentral:lncRNA from 1 species